CCAAAUCCAAUUUUUUAUACAUCUCAUACCAUCAUCCCAAAAUCCAAAAGAUAUAAGCAAAUGAAAUAAAGAGAAAAAGAGUCAAAAUUGAAAUGUAAAUCAACAUUGAUCAUUAGCAUCCAUUCAUGUUAUCAUUAUAUUAACAUAACUUUACCCAUACAUACAUGAAUUUACAAAACUUGGCGCAUGCUUGAAAGUCACAAUUUUUCCACUUCCUUGUUUCCCUCUAAUUUCAGCUGCAAAAGAUCACACCAACCUUGCCACAUUUCCAGCUCACCUUGAUCACGCUUUUCAUCAUCACUCUCUCACUCAUUUUCACACGGAUUGACAACAACUUCUCAAAAUAUCUCACUAAAAAUUUCACACACUUCUAAUCCUCAC
rnacentral:lncRNA from 1 species